AAUUGACGGGGACCCGCACAAGCGGUGGAUGAUGUGGAUUAAUUCGAUGCAACGCGAAAACCUUACCUACCUUGACAUGUCCGGAAUCCCGAAGAGAUUUGGGAGUGCUCGCAAGAGAACCGGAACACAGGUGCUGCAUGGCUGUCGUCAGCUCGUGUCGUGAGAUGUUGGGUUAAGUCCCGCAACGAGCGCAACCCUUGUCAUUAGUUGCCAUCAUUUGGUUGGGCACUCUAAUGAGACUGCCGGUGACAAACCGGAGGAAGGUGGGGAUGACGUCAAGUCCUCAUGGCCCUUAUGGGUAGGGCUUCACACGUCAUACAAUGGUCGGUACAGAGGGUUGCCAACCCGCGAGGGGGAGCUAAUCCCACAAAGCCGAUCGUAGUCCGGAUCGCAGUCUGCAACUCGACUGCGUGAAGUCGGAAUCGCUAGUAAUCGUGGAUCAGCAUGUCACGGUGAAUACGUUCCCGGGUCUU
rnacentral:rRNA from 1 species